AACCAACAGGGAUUGCCCUAGUAACGGCGAGUGAAGCGGCAACAGCUCAAAUUUGAAAUCUGGCUCUUUUAGGGUCCGAGUUGUAAUUUGCAGAGGGCGCUUUGGCGUUGGCAGCGGUCCAAGUUCCUUGGAACAGGACGUCACAGAGGGUGAGAAUCCCGUACGUGGUCGCUAUCCUUCGCUGUGUAAAGCCCCUUCGACGAGUCGAGUUGUUUGGGAAUGCAGCUCUAAAUGGGAGGUAAAUUUCUUCUAAAGCUAAAUACUGGCCAGAGACCGAUAGCGCACAAGUAGAGUGAUCGAAAGAUGAAAAGCACUUUGGAAAGAGAGUCAAAUAGCACGUGAAAUUGUUGAAAGGGAAGCGCUUGCAGCCAGACUUGCCUGUAGUUGCUCAUCCGGGCUUUUGCCCGGUGCACUCUUCUGCGGGCAGGCCAGCAUCAGUUUGGGCGGUUGGAUAAAGGUCUCUGUCAUGUACCUCUCUUCGGGGAGGCCUUAUAGGGGAGACGCCAUGCAACCAGCCUGGACUGAGGUCCGCGCAUUUUUGCUAGGAUGCUGGCGUAAUGGCUGUAAGCGGCCCGUCUUGAAACACGGACCAAGGAGUCUAACAUCUAUGCGAGUGUUUGGGUGUCAAGCCCGAGCGCGCAAUGAAAGUGAACGGAGGUGGGACCCCAUUAGGGUGCACCAUCGACCGAUCCUGAAGUCUUCGGAUGGAUUUGAGUAAGAGCAUGGCUGUUGGGACCCGAAAGAUGGUGAACUAUGCUUGAAUAGGGUGAAGCCAGAGGAAACUCUGGUGGAGGCUCGCAGCGGUUCUGACGUGCAAAUCGAUCGUCAAAUUUGGGCAUAGGGGCGAAAGACUAAUCGAACUAUCUAGUAGCUGGUUCCUGCCG
rnacentral:rRNA from 1 species